rnacentral:rRNA from 1 species
CCUACGGUGUCAGCAGUGGGGAAUAUUGGACAAUGGGCGAAAGCCUGAUCCAGCCAUGCCGCGUGUGUGAAGAAGGCCUUCGGGUUGUAAAGCACUUUCAGUGGGGAAGAAAGCCUUGGGGCUAAUACCCUCGAGGAAGGACAUCACCCACAGAAGAAGCACCGGCUAACUCCGUGCCAGCAGCCGCGUUAAUACGGAGGGUGCGAGCGUUAAUCGGAAUUACUGGGCGUAAAGCGCGCGUAGGCGGUCUGAUAAGCCGGUUGUGAAAGCCCCGGGCUCAACCUGGGAACGGCAUCCGGAACUGUCAGGCUAGAGUGCAGGAGAGGAAGGUAGAAUUCCCGGUGUAGCGGUGAAAUGCGUAGAGAUCGGGAGGAAUACCAGUGGCGAAGGCGGCCUUCUGGACUGACACUGACGCUGAGGUGCGAAAGCGUGGGUAGCAAACAGGAUUAGAUACCCUGGUAGUC